GGCGGCAUGCCUCAUACAUGCAAGUCGAACGAGGUCUUCGGACCUAGUGGCGCACGGGUGAGUAACAUGUGGGAAUCUACCUGAAGGUUCGGAAUAACUGCGGGAAACUGUAGCUAAUACCGGAUGUGUCUGCAAAGAGAAAGAUUUAUCGCCUUCAGAUGAGCCCGCACUAGAUUAGCUAGUUGGUGAGGUAAUUGCUCCACCAAGGCUCCGAUCUAUAGCUGAUUUGAGAGGAUGAUCAGCCACACUGGGACUGAGACACGGCCCAGACUCCUACGGGAGGCAGCAGUAGGGAAUAUUGGACAAUGGGGGAAACCCUGAUCCAGCAAUGCCGCGUGAGUGAAGAAGGCCUUCGGGUUGUAAAGCUCUUUCAUCAAUGAUGAUAAUGACAUUAGUUGAAGAAGAAGCCCCGGCUAACUUCGUGCCAGCAGCCGCGGUAAUACGAAGGGGGCUAGCGUUGUUCGGAAUCACUGGGCGUAAAGCGUAUGUAGGCGGAUCAAAAAGUUAGAUGUGAAAUCCCUGGGCUCAACCCAGGAACUGCAUUUAAAACUAGUGAUCUAGAAUUUGGUAGGGGCCAGUAGAAUUUCCAGUGUAGAGGUGAAAUUCGUAGAUAUUGGAAAGAAUACCAGUGGCGAAGGCGACUGGCUGGGCCAUUUUUGACGCUGAGAUACGAAAGCGUGGGUAGCAAACAGGAUUAGAUACCCUGGUAGUCCACGCAGUAAACGAUGAGUGCUAGUCGCUGGGACAAUAGUUUCAGUGUCGAAGCUAACGCAUUAAGCACUCCGCCUGGGAAGUACGGU
rnacentral:rRNA from 1 species